rnacentral:lncRNA from 1 species
GUACAAAACAUUAGGAAGACAUUCUUAAUAUUGAGUUUCACUCCCUUUUGCCCUCAUUAACAGCCUCAUUUUUUCGGGCCAUGGACUCUACAAGGUGUCAAAAGCAUUCCACAGGGACGGUGGCAAGUGUUGACUCCAAUGUUUCCCACAGUUGUGUCAAGUUGGCUGGAUGUUCUUUGGGUGCCCUGACCAUUCUUGAUACACACAGGAAACUGUUGAGAGUCAAAAACCCAGCAGCGUUGCAGUUCUUGGCACACUCAAACCAGUGCACCUGGCACCUACUACCAUACCCUGUUCAAAGGCACUUCAAUAUUUUGUCUUGAUCUUUCAACCUCUGAAUGGCACACAUACACAAUCCAUGUCUCAAUUGUCUCAAGGCUUGAAAAUCCUUCUUUAACCGGUCUCCUCCCCUUCAUCUACACUGAUUGAAGUGGAUUUAACAAGGGACAUCAUGUCUAUGUCAUGGAAAGAGCCAGUGUUCCUAAUGUUUUGUACACUUCGUGUAGAACGGAUGCUAACCACAGGAGGUUGGUGGCACCUUAAUUAGGGAGGACGGGCUCAUGGUAAUGGCUGGAGUGGAAUUAGUGGAAUGGUAUCAAAUACAUCAAACAAUGGUUUCCAUGUGUUUGAUGCCAUUCCAUUUCCUCCAUUCCAGACAUUAUAAUGAGCCGUAAUCCCCUCAGCAGCCUCCUGUGAUGCUAAGUACCCUGUUUGGUAAUCAGGCCGCCACUUUCAGUCAGCUAACAUGGAUGGAUAAGUGCCUUUUUUUUGAGGCAAUGAUUGUCUUUUUCAUAAUAACAUAAACCAUCAAAGAGAAAUUCCAAAUCCAUCAGACUAAAUAAUGUUUCAUACAUUAUACAUGAAGUGAUCUGUGAACAUUCUAUGUUAAGUUAAUGUGAUUCAUGCAGUAACAUUUAAUGUUUGUUUUUGUAUAUAAGUAUUUAGCGAAAGGGUUACUGUGUUCCAGGUAAGACAGUAGAUAGUGAUAGUGAGAGGGUUACUGUGUUCCAGGUGAGACAGUAGAUAGUGAUAGUGAGAGGGUUACUGUGUUCCAGGUGAGACUGUAUAUAGUGAGAGGGUUACUGUGUUCCAGGUGAGACUGUAUAUAGUGAGAGGGUUACUGUGUUCCAGGUGAGACUGUAUAUAGUGAUAGUGAGAGGGUUACUGUGUUCCAGGUUAGACAGUAGAUAGUGAUAGUGAGAGGGUUACUGUGUUCCAGGUUAGACAGUAGAUAGUGAGAGGGUUACUGUGUUCCAGGUUAGACAGUAGAUAGUGAGAGUGAGAGGGUUACUGUGUUCCAGGUGAGACAGUAGAUAGUGAUAGUGAGAGGGUUACUGUGUUCCAGGUGAGACAGUAGAUAGUGAUAGUGAGAGGGUUACUGUGUUCCAGGUCAGACAGGACAAAAAGGAGACCCUGGAGUUGAUGGCCAGACUGGAGCCAAGGGAGAAGCAGGGGAACCAGGAUUCGAAGGGGAUUCACCUUACUCCUACUGACCCCAAACCUUAAGAUCAAUCUAAACCCCAAUAGGAAAUGUGACAUAAUUACUGAUCUUUCAUGUCAUAACAAUGCAUUUAGUAGUCUGUGGUUCUUAUUAAUGCUCAUAUCCACUGGCAAACAGAGUUCUCUUGUAGUUCUACCACUAAUGAUCUCCAUACAGUACAUCAACUCAAUAAUAAGUCACUGUUUCAGGUGAAGAUGGUACCACUGGGCAACAAGGACCAGCUGGAACACCAGGUAGACCCAGUAGUACUAACAUGGAACCAGUCCAGUAGUACUAACAUGGAAUACAACUCAAGCUGUGGCGUUAUGAGAAAAUGGUGGAUAAGUUGACUGUUUACCAUGGCAGUUACCCAUGCAUCAACACUAACUUUAAUCAGCUCCUUGGUGGACAGGUAGGACCGUGAUAUUAGUGUGUUCUUUUAGUCUGAGAGACAGAGGCUAGAUUAAUUAUUGACAGUGUCACAUGGGCCAGUUCUACAGGUGGAGCUGGAUGAUUUAGUGUUAGGGACAUUGAAUAUUACCCCCUCUCUCACCCCAUCCAUCACAGAGGAAACGUGCGUCGUGUACUUGAUGUCCCAAAGCCAGUCCAAAUAAAGUAUGCUUUGAUACAUAUUUGAUUAGCUGAACUUGCUCCGGGACUUUGCAUUUUUUUAAUUGCUUAAAAAACUAGCCCUGACUCUUGAAAAGUUUUAGGGAGGGGGGAGGUGUUAAUGAAUUUAAAAAUAGUGUAGGAUGAAUGGUUAAAACUGCUGCUGCCCAGGCAGAGACUCUUCUUUUUCUCUCAGUAGGCUGAUGAUCACAAGGCCCUAUUCUCUUACGCCCUGGAAUAAGUAGAAGAUGGACUCAAACUCCCCUUUUUAGUUAACAGAGUCAUAAAUAAUGCCCAAUAAUGUUUGGACCCUGUUUUGUGUUGCUACCAUGUCGUGCUGCUGCCAUGUUGUGUUGCUACCAUGUUGUUGUCAUGAUUUGUUGCUACCAUGUCGUGCUGCUGCCAUGUUGUGUUACUACCAUGUUGUUGUCAUGUUGUGUUGCUACCAUGUCGUGCUGCUGCCAUGUUGUGUUGGUACCAUGUUGUUGUCAUGUUGUGUUGCUACCAUGCUGUGUUGUCAUGUGUUGCUGCCAUGCUAUGUUAAUGUCUUAGGUCUCUCUUUAUGUAGUGUCGUGUUAUUUCUCUUGUCGUGAUGUGUGUUUUGUCCAUUAUUUGUAUUUAUUUUUAAUCCCAGCCCCCGUCCCCGCAGGAGGCCUUUUGCCGUUUUGGUAGGCCAUCAUUGUAAAUAAGAAUUUAUUCUUAACUGACUUGCCUAGUUAAAUAAAGAUUAAAUAAAUAAAAAAUGCAUUAAAAUAAAAAUAAAAUUUCCCUCAUCAUGACUGGCUCAAGUGUUGUAACAUUUCCAGGCAUAGUUCCACAUUUCUGUCACAGCUGUCGUGGAAGAGAGAAUGGGACCAAGGCGCAGCGGGUUGCGUGCUCAACAUAUUUAUUAAAUAAAAUGAGAACACCACGGAAAAACAAUAAACAAACUAACGACAGGAACAGAGCCGCAGGCUCAACAAAAGCAGUGCUCUCAAACAACUACCCACAAGUGACAAACAAAAACACACACCUAUUUAUAGGACUCCCAAUCAGAGGCAACUAGAAACACCUGCCUCCAAUUGAGAGUCCAGCACCCAACCUACACAUAGAAAAACUAACCUAGAAUAUACACAUAGAAAUACAAACAUAGACCAGUGACCAAAAACCCCGUAAUACAUAAAUAAACUACCCUCUGCCACAUCCUGACCAAACUACAAUAACAAAAUAUCCUCUAUACUGGUCAGGACGUGACAAUUUCAGCCUUCUCAGUUUCUGUUCCGGUUGUCACAGUAAUAUACAGAAACGACAUAUGUACGAUCUUAAUUUGAGCCAGUUCACAACAGCAGGAAAAUAAUCCUGCAGAAACAGGAAAUGUGAAUUAUUAUGUGGAUUAUAAUUAAUGGACAUUAUUUGUAGGGGUUGAUACAUUUUUCUUGAGGGGAAAAACAAGUCUCACAAUUUAAAGUGUAAAUUACAAACUUUAGAAGCCUUUUUAAACCUUGAAUACACUACAAGUUCGCAUUUUGUGCUAUGCAGGAAAAUUCUCAGCAACAAAAGAGUGAUCAAAUUAAGAUUCUACAUCUGUAUAUCACCAGAUCAUCAUUGUGAAAUUUGUCCAUUUCAGUUAAAAGUGCUGAGUGAAUGCAUUCACAACUGGAAAUACAGCUAGUUUAGUUUACUUGCUUCACCCAUAUACAGUUUAUUUGUUUCUUGUUACACACACAGUACAGCUGUCGGAUCUUAAUUUGAGCCAGUUGUCUACAGCAGGAAAAUGAUCCUGCAGAAAGAGGAAAUGUGAAUUAUUAUGUGAAUUUUAUUUAAUGGACAUUUUUGUAGGGGUUAUUUGUAAUUUGUUACGACAAAUCAAGUCUGAAACUUCAAGGUGGAAAUUUCUAAAUGUAGAAGCCUUUUGUAAAACUCAAAUACACUACAAGUUUGCAUUUCCUGCUGUACCGGACAAUUAUAAUUAAGAUCCUACAUCUGUAAUACUGUAGUUAUGUUAAAUCUUAGGUGUGUAAUGCGUAUGUAUGUACAGUUGAAGUCGGAAGUUUACAUACCCUUAGGUUGGAGUCAUUAAAACUCGUUUUUCAACCACUCCACAAAUUUCUUGUUAAUUAACUAUAGUUUUGGUAAGUCGGUUAGGACAUCUACUUUGUGCAUGACACCAUUAAUUUUUCCAACAAUUGUUUACAGACAGAUUAUUUCACCUAUAAUUCCCUGUAUCACAAUUCCAGUGGGUCAAAAGUUUACAUACAAUAAGUUGACUGUGCCUUUAAAUUGCUUGGAAAAUUCCAGAAAAUUAUGUCAUGGCUUUGGAAGUUUCUGAUAGGCUAAUUGACAUCAUUUGAGUCAAUUGGAGGUGUACUUGUGGAUGUAUUUCAAGGCAUAUCUUCAAACUCAGUGCCUAUUUGCUUGACAUCAUGGGAAAAUCAAAAGAAAUCAGCCAAGACCUCAGAAAAAAAAUUGUAGACCUCCGCAAGUUUGGUUCAUCCUUGGGAGCAAUUUCCAAACGUCUGAAGGUACCACGUUCAUCGGUACAAACAAUAGUACCAAGUAUAAACACCAUGGGACCACGCAGCUGUCAUACCUCUCAGGAAGGAGACGCGUUCUGUCUCCUAGAGAUGAACGUACUUUGGUGCAAAAAGUGCAAAUCAAUCCCAGAACAACAGCAAAGGACCUUGUGAAGAUGCUGGAGGAAACAGGUACAAAAGUAUUUAUAUACACAGUAAAAUGAGUCCUACAUCGACAUAACCUGAAAGGCCACUCAGCAAGGAAGAAGCCACUGCUCCAAAACCACCAUGAAAAACCCAGACUACGGUUUGCAACUGCACAUGGGGACAAAGAUUGUACUUUUUGGAGAAAUGUCCUCUGAUCUGAUGAAACAAAAAUAGAACUGUUUGGCCAUAAUGACCAUCAUUAUGUUUGGAGGAAAAGGGGGGAGGCUUGCAAGCCGAAGAACACCAUCCCAACCGUGAAGCACUUGGGUGGCAGCAUCAUGUUGUGGAGGUGCUUUGCUGCAGGAGGGACUGGUGCACUUCACAAAAUAGAUGGCAUCAUGAGCAAGGAAAAUAAUGUGGAUGUAUUGAAGCAACAUCUCAAGACAUCAGGCAGGAAGUUAAAGCUUGGUUGCAAAUGGGUCUUCCAAAUAGACAAUGACCCCAAGCAUACCUCCGAAGUUGUGGCAAAAUGGCUUAUGGACAAGAAAGUCAGGGUAAAAAAAGAAAGCCAUCACUAAGCCCUGACCUCAAUCCCAUAGAACAUUUGUGGGCAGAACUGAAAAAGUGUGUGCGAGCAAGGAGGCCUGCAAGCCUGACUCAGUUACACCAGCUCUGUCAGGAGGAAUGGGCCAAUGUUCACCCAACUUAUUGUGGGAAGCUUGUGGAAGGCUACCUGAAACGUUGGACCCAAGUGAACCAAUUUAAAGGCAAUGCUACCAAAUACUAAUUGAGUGUAUGUAAACUUCUGACCCACUGGGAAUGUGAUGAAAGAAAUAAAAUAUGAAAGAAAUCAUUCUCUCUACUAUUAUUCUGACAUUUCACAUUCUUAAAAUAAAGUGAUCCUAACUGACCUAAGACAGGGAAUUUUUACUAGGAUUAAAUGUCAGGAAUUGUGAAAAAGGAGUUUAAAUGUAUUUGGCUAAGGUGUAUGUUAACUUCCGACUUCAACUGUAUCUCUUCAGUGGAUAUUGUGUGCAUGUGUAUACAGUGUCUCUGAUUGUGUGUGUCAUACGUACAAGCGGUGCAGCUACUAAUUGUUCAGGAGCCCCUGGGCUGCCAGGACCAAAGGGGGAUAUGGGACACAUUGGUGAGUCUGUAUGGGCUUAACACUACAUUCACCUAUAGACUGUUUACUUUUAAUGCUCCACCUGCGUAUUUGAAGGGCACACCUGCAAACUACUUAUUUUUUGGUACUCAACAAUUAACUGAACCUGGCCUCUUUUCUUUUCUCUUGCUACUACCUCUAACAUUUACCUCUCAACCUCUUCACAGGUUUACCAGGGAUACCAGGCCAGAACGGGAUCAAAGGGCAUACUGGACCCCAGGGCCGUGAUGGAGUACAGGGGGCCCCUGAUUGGAAGGGUGACACAGGGCCGACAGGACUACCUGGACCCAUAGGACCUGAAGGACCAAAAGGACCUGCUGGUGUUAAUGGAACAAGAGGACUUGUUGGAUUUCCAGGGUUGCCGGGAAGUCCCGGACCACUAGGUCCACGUGGAGAGAAGGGUGAAAGAGCAGCUGGACCAGUGACAGCAAAUGUGCGUAUCGCUGGCGGGGGGACUCGUGGGAGAGUGGAGGUGAUAUGGUCGGGGCAGUAGGGUACGGUGUGUGAAGACGGCUUCGACACUCUGGACGGGACCGUGAUCUGCAAGAUGUUGUUGAAUCUCAUGGACUUGGCUUCUGGAUUGGGUUGUCAUCCGUUUAGGAAUCGGUAGGAUCUGGUUGGAUGACCUGCGAUGCACAGGCAGAGAGGCCAGUGUGUUUGAUUGCCUUCACAACGGCAUGGGCAUCAGCACUGUCAACACAACGAGGACGCUGGGGUGCAGUGUGUGUGAAUGUGUCCUGGAUCCAGAGUAGGAGAGGUGCACAGCAAGAGAGAGACAUAUACACACACUAAAGUAUGUCCACACAUACAUUAACAUGUUACAGAUGGUAAGUCAUGUUACUAUGACUUGUUACAUCUACUGUAUCUUAUCUUUUUUAAACAACAUUAAUAAGUCAUUGUUGAUAUAAACUUGGCAUUUACCUAACGUCUAGCUAACUUAGGCCUACCCAUUGUCUCACGUCAGAUGGUGUCACUCCUACGCGACGCUCGUCCUUCAAACCAUCUGUCUUGUAGGACGUGGAACUCAUAUCUAAAAAUCUAGAUUUUGCUCAUCUGCCGAACACUAGUUUCUAACUCUAUGACGUAUCUAUGACGCACUGACUACUACCAUGCUUGAUCAGCUGAGCAAACUUGCCCAAACUAGGAGCCUAGUGAUAACUUGUUUGAAUGGCCAUUACUGUAGCUAUUUUGCCAAUCUUGUUGAUGAAUAGCCAAAGUUAUGGGACUGUUCUAAGAAAUCAGCAUGUAUCUGACUCUGACAGCUGGCACUGUGCCUCACUACUUUGUAACAUUUGGCCAACGCAAUAACAUCGCAGCUAGCCUAAAGCAGUCAAGCUGUGCUGCAAAACUCACUAAUCACGGCAAAGCAGAAACUGCCUUAUCAUGAAAACUCAUGUGCUAUUAGCUAGAAUAUCACUACACUAGCUAGCUAGAGGGAGUAUUCAGCAUUGAGUGUGUGAACUGUCGUUGUUAGCAUCCCUUGCUUUGAGACUGGUUCAGCCAGCAAGCAGACACUAGCUAGCUGUCACGUCCUGACCAGCAGAGGGCGUAAUGGUGUUAGUUUUGGUCAGGAUGUGGCAGGGGUUUUGUGUGUGUGAAUGGUUGUGUUGGUGAUUGGGACUCCCAAAUGAAGGCAGGUGUGUUGAGUUGCCUUUGAUUGGGAGUCCUAUAUAGGAGUGUGUUUUUCUUUGGGGUUGUGGGUAGUUGUUUUUUCACUGCGUUUGAUAGCCUGCAAAACUGUUGCUGUCUUGUUUAUUGUUUUUUCCUGUGGAUGCCUUACUCUUUUGAAUUAAAAUAUGAGUAUCCACAUUCCCGCUGCGCCUUGGUCCAUUUCUGAAGACGGUUGUGACACUAGCUAGCUAAUUUUCAUGCAAAUUUAGAUUUUCAUGAAUUCUUAUUCUACACCCACAAAACACCUUAGCUAAAUGUAUUGAAGAAUUUGUGAUUAAAUAAAUGUCAAUAUUAGUUACAGGUUUAUAGUUUUAAGAUUAACUCUGACUCUUAUGAGGAUUCAAGGGGGUUCAGUGGACGAUGCCACCUUGGUAACAUUUUUGAAUAUUAGGACAGCAUAUUGUAGUCAAACUUAUUUUUAGCUUUCCAUUGAGUGUUUGCGAGUUAUCAGAGAGAUGAGUGCAGACGGCCUUCGCACUGAUGUGAGACAAUGAGGCCUACCUGUAAUAAUGUACCCGGAGGAAGGUUUAUACAGAAUACAUGGUAUUUUCUGAACUGCACUUGAUAAAC